rnacentral:rRNA from 1 species
GAUCCUGGCUCAGGAUGAACGCUGGCGGCGUGCCUAAUACAUGCAAGUGAAACGGGUAUCUUCGGAUACCAGUCGCGGACGGGUGAGUAAUACAUAGGCAACCUGCCUUUAUGAGGGGGAUAACCGAGGGAAACUUUGGCUAAUACCGCAUGAAGACUCUAAGGCAUCUUAGAGGGAUAAAAGUUGGGAAACAACGCAUGAAGAUGGGCUUAUGGCGCAUUAGCUAGUUGGUGAGAUAGAAGCCCACCAAGGUAAUGAUGCGUAGCCGACCUGAGAGGGUGAACGGCCACAUUGGGACUGAGACACGGCCCAAACUCCUACGGGAGGCAGCAGUAGGGAAUUUUCGGCAAUGGGGGGAACCCUGACCGAGCAACGCCGCGUGAAAGGAAGAAGGUUUUCGGAUUGUAAAGUUCUGUUGUAGGGGAUGAAUGAUUCGUGAAGGAAAUGUCACGAAUUUGACAGUACUCUACCAGAAAGCCACGGCUAACUACGUGCCAGCAGCGGC